ACAGCAAAAAACAUUGGGUUAUUUUCACAACCCAAUAGAUUUACGGCUCUAGAGUCAUUUUGUUGGAUUAUUUUCCAAAUGCUGGGUUGUUUUCGUAGUGACAACAGGUUGGGUACAAGGUACAUUUGUAAUAAAAACCCAACGAACGGACGCUGGUUGACAUCAAAUCUGUGCAAAACCCAUUGGCACUUGUUGUGCCACUAGACAGAAAAAGCAGAGUGGAAAAUCUGUUCCCGAUUUAAAAUAAUUGCUGCCAAGUUCUUCAGGUAGCCAAGGAGGGUACUGAGUGCUUGAGAUUUCCUCCUCCUCCUAUAACUCAUCCCAAUCCUCAACAACUUCAUCACCAGACUGCUGUACUGACUGCUGACAUUGCUGACAGGGGUGACCUGUGACUAUGAGUGAUGGAGUAUCAUCGGGUGUGAGUCGUUGUCUUCCAUAGGGGUGUCAUGCCCUGACCUUAGAGAUCCUUUUUAUUCUCUAUGUUUGGUUAGGUCAGGGUGUGACUCGGGUGGGAAAGUCUAUGUUUUCUAUUUCUUUGUUUUUGGCCAUGUGUUCCCAAUCAGAGGUAGCUGUCGAUCGUUGUCUCUGAUUGGGGAUCACAUAUAAGUUGUCAUUUUCCUUGAGGGUUCUGUGGGAUCUUGUUUUCGUUUUGUUUGUGUCUGUACAUGACAGAACUGUGCGCUUUUAUUUUCACUUUGGUUAUUUUGUUUGAGUGUUUUUGAAAAUAAAAAUCAUGAACACUUUCCACGCUGCACUUUGGUCCACUCCUUUCGACGAGCGUGGUAACAGAAGAUCCCACCACCAACAGCGUGUCCCGGAGUGGAGGACAUCAUGGACAUGGGAGGAGGUAAUGGCAGGGCAUGAGAGCCUGUCGUGGAAACAGGCCGAUGCAGCGAGGGAGGAACAGCGACGAGGCCAGGUGUCACGGCAACGACGGAAGCCCGAGAGGCAGCUCCAAAAACAAUUUUGGGGCCAACUCCCCGUGCUUACCGUGGGGAGCGUGUGACUGGUCAAGCACCACGGUGUCUCCAGUGUGCAUUCACAGCCCUGUUUCAGCUCCCCGCAGUUGCGGUGCUGGUCUCCAGUGCGUCUCUUCGGCCCAGUAUAUCCUGUGCCAGCUCUACGCACGGUAUCCCUAGUUCGCCAGCACAACCCAGUGCGGCCUGUUCCAGCUCCCUGCACUUGCCGUGCUACAGGGGGUAUUCAGCAAGGACGCGUUGUGCCAGCUCUACUGUACCCGAGAGAACUGUGUGCUUUCGUUUUCACUUUGGUUAUUUUGUUUGAGUGUUUUGAAAAUAAAAACCAUGAACACUU